UUCCGGUUGAUCCUGCCGGCGGUCACCGCUAUUGGAAUCCGAUUUAUCCAUGCGAGUCGAGAGGGUUCGGCCCUCGGCAGACCGCUCAGUAACACGUGGAUAACCUACCCUGAUGUGGGGGAUAAUCUCGGAAAACUGAGGCUAAUACCCCAUAGGCCUACGAUACUGGAAUGUUCUGUGGUAAAAAGCUCCGGCGCCUUAGGAUGAAUCUGCGGCCUAUCAGGUAGUAGUGGGUGUAGUGUACCUACUAGCCGACGACGGGUACGGGUUGUGAGAGCAAGAGCCCGGAGAUGGAUUCUGAGACAUGAAUCCAGGCCCUACGGGGCGCAGCAGGCGCGAAAUCUUUACACUGCGGGAAACCGCGAUAAGGGGACACUGAGUGCCAGCAUAUUAUGUUGGCUGUCCGCAUGUAUAAAUAGCAUGUGUUAGCAAGGGCCGGGCAAGACCGGUGCCAGCCGCCGCGGUAACACCGGCGGCCCGAGUGGUGGCCACUAUUAUUGGGUCUAAAGGGUCCGUAGCCGGUUCGAUCAGUCUUCCGGGAAAUCUGACAGCUCAACUGUUAGGCUUCCGGGGGAUACUGUCGGACUUGGGACCGGGAGAGGUAAGAGGUACUACAGGGGUAGGAGUGAAAUCUUGUAAUCCUUGUGGGACCACCAGUGGCGAAGGCGUCUUACCAGAACGGGUCCGACGGUGAGGGACGAAAGCUGGGGGCACGAACCGGAUUAGAUACCCGGGUAGUCCCAGCCGUAAACGAUGCUCGCUAGGUGUCUGGGAUGGUGCGACCGUUUCAGGUGCCGCAGGGAAGCCGUGAAGCGAGCCACCUGGGAAGUACGGCCGCAAGGCUGAAACUUAAAGGAAUUGGCGGGGGAGCACUACAACGGGUGGAGCCUGCGGUUUAAUUGGAUUCAACGCCGGAA
rnacentral:rRNA from 1 species